rnacentral:rRNA from 1 species
GAUGAACGCUAGCGGCAGGCCUCAUACAUGCAAGUCGAGGGGCAGCGGGACACUUCGGUGUUGCCGGCGACCGGCGUACGGGUGCGUAAUGCGUAUGCAAUCUACUUUACACUGGGGAAUAGCUCCCGGAAACCGGAAUUCAUACCCCAUAUUAUCUUACAAGCGCAUGUUUGUAAGAUGAAAGCUACGGCGGUGUAAAAUGAGCAUACGUCCUAUUAGCUAGUUGGCGGGGUAAAGGCCCACCAAGGCGAUGAUGGGUAGGGGUUCUUAGUGGAAGAUCCACCACACUGGAACUGAGAUACGGGCCAGACUCCUACGGGAGGCAGCAGUAGGGAAUAUUGGUCAAUGGGCGCAAGCCUGAACCAGCCAUGCCGCGUGCAGGAUGAAGGCUCUAUGAGUUGUAAACUGCUUUUGUACAGGAACAAAAAAGCCCCUGCGGGGGUUCUUGAGUGUACUGUAAGAAUAAGCACCGGCUAAUUCCGUGCCAGCCGCCGCCGUAAUAC